rnacentral:sRNA from 12 species
GCCAGGCUGCUAUAAAAGCACAAACCAAUGUGUUUUCCUCCGCGUGGAGGUUGGCAGCAAGCAGUACCAUGCCGCAGGGCAGGGGUGCUGCAGAAAAGGCCGGUAAAUAUGCCGGUAAA